GGACUACAGGGGUAUCUAAUCCCGUUCGCUACCCUAGCUUUCGUGUGUGAGCGUCAGAUGUUGGCCAGUGCGCUGCCUUCGCCUUUGGUGUUCCCCACGAUAUCAACGGAUUUCACCCCUACACCGUGAGUUCCACGCACCUCUCCAACCCUCUAGUCAUGCCGUUUCACUCGCGGGCCUGAAGUUGAGCUCCAGGAUUUUACGAAUGACUAACAUGACCGCCUUGACACCCUUUACGCCCAGUGAUUCCGGAUAAUGCUUGGGGCCUCUGUAUUACCGCGGCUGCUGGCAC
rnacentral:rRNA from 1 species